rnacentral:lncRNA from 1 species
CUCGUUUUUAGUUUCUAAUCAUUAGAGGUUUGUGUAAAUCCAUAUGAUUCUCAUUAUUCUAUUUCUCUUUCUUUUCAACCAAUCACUCUUUUAUUCCAUCCUUUUUUUACUCUUCGAUAUCUUUGAGUUCCCAUUUUUUCCCCUUCAUCUAACAUAAUAAAAGACGAAAUACAGGAAGAACCCCUAUUGAAAUCGAACUAAUCCAAAUCCAAUAGGAAUCAAAUCAAGAUAUACAAUUGAUAACAAUAUGCUGCAUAGAACUAGAUAUGGAAUCCAGUUCCAUAUAGAAGGGAAUUCUAUAUAUCGGAUUAGAUAAUGAAUCUAACUUAGGAAUAAAAAAAUCCCAUAUACAUUUGUUUCUUCUAUUUUGUUUGCCUAUUUUCUCAUUUUCUAUUGAAUCCGAUUCUAAAAUCAUUCUUUAGAAAGCCACACAAAAGAUGACUGUCUUAUAGGCAUUAAAGAUAUAGAUCUUUGUGUUUGGGUACCCAAAGUUCUUGUUUCUAAUGCCAAAGGACCCAAAACCGUUUGGGUACCUAAAGUCAAGAACUAAAAUUGUUUUGUAGGUUUAUGCAUCCGGGGGCUCAAGUUGGAUACUCGACAGCGGGUGCACAAACCACAUGACAGGGGAGAAAAAGAUGUUCUCCUCAUAUGAGAAAAACCAAGAUCCCCAACGAGCGAUCACAUUCGGGGAUGGAAAUCAAGGUUUGGUCAAAGGAUUGGGUAAAAUUGCUAUAUCACCUGACCAUACUAUUUCCAAUGUUUUUCUUGUAAAUUCUUUAGAUUACAAUUUGCUUUCCGUAUCCCAAUUAUGUCAAAUGGGCUACAACUGUCUCUUUACUGAUAUAGGUGUCACUGUCUUUAGAAGAAGUGAUGAUUCAAUAGCAUUUAAGGGUGUGUUGGAGGGUCAGCUAUACUUGGUAGAUUUUGAUAGAGCUAAACUCGACACAUGCUUAAUUGCUAAGACUAACAUGGGUUGGCUCUGGCAUCGCCGACUAGCCCACGUUGGGAUGAAGAAUCUUCAUAAGCUUCUAAAGGGAGAGCACAUUUUAGGAUUAACCAAUGUUCAUUUUGAGAAAGACAGGAUUUGUAGCGCAUGCCAAGCAGGAAAGCAAGUUGGGUCUCAUCAUCCACACAAGAACAUCAUGACAAGUGACAGGCCACUGGAGCUCCUUCACAUGGAUUUAUUCGGCCCGAUUGCUUACAUAAGCAUCGGCGGGAGUAAGUAUUGUCUUGUAAUAAUGGAUGAUUAUUCUCGCUUCACUUGGGUGUUCUUUUUGCAGGAAAAAUCCCAUACCCAAGAGACCCUAAAGGGAUUCUUGAGACGGGCUCAAAAUGAGUUCGGCUUAAGGAUCAAGAAAAUUAGAAGCGACAACGGGACGGAGUUCAAGAACUCACAAAUUGAAGGCUUUAUUGAGGAGGAAGGCAUCAAGCAUGAGUUCUCUUCUCCCUACACCCCACAACAAAAUGGUGUAGUGGAGAGGAAGAAUCGAACUCUAUUGGACAUGGCAAGAACCAUGCUUGAUGAGUACAAGACACCGGAUCGGUUUUGGGCCGAGGCGGUCAACACCGCCUGCUACGCCAUCAACCGGUUAUAUCUACACCGAAUCCUCAAGAAGACAUCAUAUGAACUCCUAACCGGUAAAAAGCCAAAUAUUUCAUAUUUUAGAGUUUUUGGUAGCAAAUGUUUUAUUCUUGUUAAAAGAGGUAGAAAAUCUAAAUUUGCUCCUAAAACUGUAGAAGGCUUUUUACUAGGAUAUGAUUCAAACACAAGGGCAUAUAGAGUCUUUAACAAGUCCUCAGGACUAGUUGAAGUUUCUUGUGACGUUGUGUUUGAUGAAACUAACGGCUCUCAAGUAGAGCAAGUUGAUCUUGAUGAGAUAGGUAAAGAACAGGCUCCGUGCAUCGCGCUAAGGAAUAUGUCCAUUGGGGAUGUGUGUCCUAAGGAACCCGAAGAGCCUCCACAAGCACAAGAUCGACCAUCCUCCUCCACGCAAGCAUCUCCACCAACCCAAAAUGAGGACGAGGCUCAAGUUGAUGAAGGAGAAGUUCAAAGAGAUGAGCCAUCUCAAGAUGACGACAAUGAUCAAGGGGGAAAUGCAAAUGAUCAAGACAAGGAGGAUGAACAACCAAGGCCGCCACACCUAAGAGUCCACCAAGCAAUACAACGAGAUCACCCCGUCGACACCAUCCUCGGCGACAUUCAUAAGGGGGUAACCACUCGAUCUCGUGUUGCACAUUUUUGUGAGCAUUACUCUUUUGUCUCCUCUAUUGAGCCACACAGGGUAGAGGAAGCACUUCAAGAUUCGGAUUGGGUGAUGGCAAUGCAAGAGGAGCUCAACAACUUCACGAGGAACGAGGUAUGGCAUUUGGUUCCACGUCCUAACCAAAAUGUUGUAGGAACCAAGUGGGUCUUCCGCAACAAGCAAGAUGAGCAUGGUGUGGUGACAAGGAACAAAGCUCGACUCGUGGCCAAGGGGUAUUCACAAGUCGAAGGUUUGGAUUUUGGUGAAACCUAUGCACCCGUAGCUAGGCUUGAGUCAAUUCGUAUAUUAUUAGCCUAUGCUACUUACCAUGGCUUCAAGCUUUACCAAAUGGACGUGAAGAGUGCCUUCCUCAAUGGACCAAUCAAGGAAGAGGUCUAUGUUGAGCAACCUCCCGGCUUUGAAGACAGUGAGUAUCCUAACCAUGUCUAUAAGCUCUGUAAGGCCCUUUAUGGGCUCAAGCAAGCCCCAAGAGCAUGGUAUGAAUGCCUUAGAGAUUUCCUUAUUGCAAAUGGCUUCAAAGUCGGCAAGGCCGAUCCUACCUUAUUCACUAAAACUCUUGACAAUGAUUUGUUCGUAUGCCAAAUUUAUGUUGAUGAUAUUAUAUUUGGGUCUACUAACGAAUCUACAUGUGAAGAAUUUAGUAGGAUCAUGACAAAGAAAUUCGAGAUGUCUAUGAUGGGGGAGUUGAAGUAUUUUCUAGGAUUUCAAGUCAAGCAACUCCAAGAGGGCACCUUCAUUAGCCAAACGAAGUACACUCAAGACAUUCUAACCAAGUUUGGAAUGAAGGAUGCCAAGCCCAUCAAGACACCCAUGGGAACCAAUGGGCAUCUCGACCUCGACACGAGAGGUAAGUCCGUGGAUCAAAAGGUAUACCGUUCGAUGAUUGGUUCAUUGCUUUAUUUAUGUGCAUCUCGACCGGACAUUAUGCUUUCCGUUUGCAUGUGUGCAAGAUUCCAAUCCGACCAUAAGGAAUCCCACCUUACAGCCGUAAAACGGAUCUUGAGAUAUUUGGCUUAUACACCUAAGUUUGGGCUUUGGUACCCUCGGGGAUCCACAUUUGAUUUGAUUGGUUAUUCGGAUGCCGAUUGGGCGGGGUGCAAAAUCAAUAGAAAGAGCACAUCAGGGACUUGCCAGUUCUUGGGAAGAUCCUUGGUGUCUUGGGCUUCAAAGAAGCAAAAUUCGGUCGCUCUUUCUACUGCCGAAGCCGAGUACAUUGCCGCAGGCCAUUGUUGCGCGCAAUUGCUUUGGAUGAGGCAAACCCUGCGGGACUAUGGUUACAAAUUAACCAAAGUUCCUCUUCUAUGUGAUAAUGAGAGUGCAAUCCGCAUGGCGGAUAAUCCCGUUGAGCAUAGCCGCACUAAACACAUAGCCAUUCGGUAUCAUUUUCUUAGGGAUCACCAACAAAAGGGGGAUAUCGAGAUUUCAUACAUUAACACUAAAGAUCAAUUAGCCGAUAUCUUUACCAAGCCACUUGAUGAACAAUCUUUUACCAAACUUAGGCAUGAGCUCAAUAUUCUUGAUUCUAGGAAUUUCUUUUGCUAAAUUGCACACAUAGCUCUUAAAGUAUACCUUUGAUCAUGUCUCUCUUAUAUAUGCUAUGACUAAUGUGUUUUCAAGUAUAUUUCAAACCAAGUCAUAGGUAUAUUGAAAGGGAAUUGGAGUCUUCGGCGAAGACAAAGGCUUCCACUCCACUCUACUACUCAUCCUUCGCCGUCGCUCCGCAUCACUCUCCAUCUUUGGUAUAAUCUUCACUCAUAUGUUUUAUUUGGCAAAGGGGAGAAAAUAGUUAGGAAAGGGCCUAUAUUUCAAUUCAAAGUAUCUGUUUUUGGCGAUUCAUGCCAAAGGGGGAGAAAGUAUUGGCCCAAAGCAAAAGGACCGCACCACCACCCUAAUUUUAAAAAUUAAUGAUUUUCAAUUGGUAAAUUUCAAAUUAGUAUAUCUUUAUGUUCUAAAGGGGGAGCAAGUAGUAUUUUCAAAAUUGUUAUCUCAAAACCCUCUUGAACACUAAGAGGAGAAUUUAUUUGAGGGGGAGUUUUGUUUAGUCAAAGGAAAAGCAUUUGAAACAGGGGGAGAAAAUUUCAAAUCUUGAAAAUGCUUCGAAAAAUCUUAUUCAUUUACCUUUGAUUGUUUGCAAAAGAACUUUGAAAAGGAUUUACAAAAAGAAUUUGCAAAAACAAAACUUGUGGUGCAAGCGUGGUCCAAAAUGUUAAAAAUAAAGAAACAAUCCAUGCACAUCUAGUAAGUAACAUUUAUUGGCUCAAUUCCAAGCAACCUUUGCACAUACAUUAUGCAAACUAGUUCAAUUAUGCACUUUUAUAUUUGCUUUGGUUUGUGUUGGCAUCAAUCACCAAAAAGGGGGAGAUUGAAAGGGAAUUAGGCUUACACCUAGUCCCUAAUUAAUUUUGGUGGUUGAAUUGCCCAACACAAAUAUUUGGACUAACUAGUUUGCUCUAGUGUAUAAGUUAUACAGGUGCCAAAGGUUCACACUUAGCCAAUAAAAGACCAAGUAUUGGGUUCAACAAAAGAGCGAAGGGACAACCGAAGGCACCUCUGGUCUGGCGCACCGGACUGUCCGGUGUGCCACCGGACAUGUCCGGUGCACCAAAGGACACCGACUUCAAACUCGUCACCUUCGGGAAUUUCCAGAGGCAACAUCACUAUAAUUCACCGGACUGUCCGGUGUACACCGGACAUGUCCGGUGCUCCAAGCGAGAGCGGCCUCAGGAACUCGCCAGCCUCGGGAAUUCAGUUUGGAUGCUUCGCUAUAAUUCACCGGACUGUCCGGUGUACACCGGACUGUCCGGUGUAACAGCGGGGCAACGACUAUUUCGGUGCCAACGGCUACCUGCGACGCAUUAAAUGCGCGCGCUGCGCGCGUAGAGGUCAGGCACGCCCAUACUGGCGCACCGGACAAUCUACAGUGCGUGUCCGGUGCGCCACCGGACAUCCAGGCGGACCCAGAAGUCAGAGCUCCAACGGUCGGAACCCAACGGCUUUGGUGACGUGGCUGUCGCACCGGACAUGUCCGGUGUGCACCGGACUGUCCGGUGCGCCAUCGAACAGACAACCUCACCAAACGGCUAGUUUGGUGGUUGGGGCUAUAAAUACCCUCAACCACCCCACAUUCAAGUCAUCCAAGUUUUCCACUUCCCAACUACUUACAAGAGCUCUAGCAUUCAAUUCUAGACACACCAAAGAGAUCAAAUCCUCUCCAAAUUCCACACAACGCCCUAGUGAUUAGAGAGAGAGAUUUGCUUGUGUUCUUUCGAGCUCUUGCGCUUGGAUUGCUUUCUUCUUUCUUGAUUCUUUCUUGCAAUCAAACUCACUUGUAAUUGAGGCAAGAGACACCAAUCUUGUGGUGGUCCUUGUAGGAACUUUGUGUUCCAAGUGAUUGAGAAGAGAAAUGUCACACCCGGUUUUAGAAGGCAAACCGAAUGCGAACCAUGUACGUGCCAGGAUCAGUUAUUCACGUACACAGCAGUUACAUAAUAUGGACAUCAUCACACAAUGCUCAAAAUAGUAUUAAUAAGGGAAAUAGUCGAUUACAUCAUACGUCUGAGACGUCCAUAUAGGUCUUACAAUAAAUCAAAGUGCGGAAAAGAAACGUAGAUAACGCGGCCUUCACAGGCAGCCGACUGGGGGUUGCCGCUAACCCACACCUAGAACUCGUCGUAGUCUUGGAACUCCUGGAAGUCUCCUUCCACAGCUUCAUCUUCGCCUGAGCAGUGGUUGCAAUGCUGACAACCUGGGGGGGGGGUUUGGUGUGUAGAGCAAGGGUGAGUACACAUCAACAUACUCAGCAAGUAUCCUGUUUGGCUGUAGUGGACUAGCUUUAUGUGGGGAUAAGUCAAGCAGUUGCUUUUAGUUGGUCAGAUUAUUAUUUGCUAGUAGAAAGCCAAGUUUUAGCAUUAACCCAAGUUAUUAACCCGAUGUACCCUUUCCAAACGGAAAGAAUACCACUUACCAGCACCAUAGUCAUAACCGAAACCAUCAAUCUCAUAACCACCUGUACCACAAUGUCUCUGAUCAAGUACCACUAAUCACUGGAGCUCCCUUGGCCGCUCAUAACCGCGAGCACGGCUGAUAUAUCAGUUUUCAAACACUCUGCAGAGGUUGUGCACUUUACCCACAAGCCGUGAUUCCCAUUCUGCCCGGAGAGAGCUACUCCCCAUUGACCACUACCUAGGUGGCCUAGCAGGGCAUCACUACGUAGCCUUUACAAAGAUUCCCCGGGGCUGUAGCCACCCGUUAGGUUUCCUAAAUGCACCGCACUCCUCCCCAAGGGGCGAACCCAAACUUGGCAGAGCGAGCCGCAUACACCGAGCCCCAUUGACGGCACGACGGCUAAGUGAACUACACCCCGGAUCCUCUAAUUAUUCAGCUAAGGGCAUCCCAUUCCACCCUCAUGGUUGCACUGUUUUCCCGGGCGGUCAUCCAUAGAACAGGUCCUUACGGAGAGGCACUCGAGAAACCGCUCGAGCCCCCUUGAAGGUCACAAGUACAACAUCAUAAUAAGAGAAGGGAAAACAGCGUAUCAUAGAUAAUCUCAUCAUGUUCAUUGAUUAGAGUUGAGCAAUAGCAUAAAGCUAAACAGUAAUAAUCCAACCCAAAUAGGUAAUCAAGGACAGGGAUAACAAAAGCUAGUCAAUCCUUAGGUAUAAAGGUGUAAUGCGGGAGGUGAAUUAAAUAAUGAAUAGGACAGAGAUAGGUCAAAGGACACUUGCCUCCACCAAACGACUGCUGCUCAGGGGCUUCUCCUGCGGGUUCCUCGGGCUCUUCAACUGGAUCGUUCUCUAUGCGAGCGCAAACAUACAUACAUCCACAUAUUUAAUACAAAAGAACAGUACACCAUACAAUAGAAUGCAAUAAGUAAACAGACGUUCUACGCAGGUUCGCGAGUACGGUUAAGAGAGAAAGAGGAAAAGACAGUCGAGAAACGAUAACGUUACAUGAUUAUAGAUUUAGCCACUCGCUUAAUGGAAGGAAUUUAAGGUAGACACUAUGUUUAGCAUAAAGUAAAGUCAUGUUUCAUGUCUAAUUAUUAUAAGCAGGUGGAGAUAAAUAAAAGGAUGGUCGCGCGGCGAGACGCGCGACAAAGCUCUCUAAAACAAAUUAAGAAGUUAACGAAUCGUCGCGCGACCGAGCACGCAACAAAACACUUCGCCUUAGUUACGAGGAGACGUUAAGCGUCGCGCGACGAAGCGCACGACGGCAUACGUCGACUAAACUGAGUCCAAAGUGGAACGUCGCGUGAAUACACACGCGGCGCUACACCUUAAACAACCUGAAACAAAAUGGAUCGUCGCGCGACGAAGCGCACGACGCAGCACAAGAUAGAAUCCGAAUUUAGACAAAUCCGUCGCGCGGCGAAGCGCGCGACGCAACACGCUAAUUAACGAAUAAUCAUCGCGAACGCGGGCGAGCGAAAAUACGGUCGGGCGAGACCGGGACGGGGAAACGAGCGGGCGAGCUGGGGCCAGGGCGGUUGAACCGGCCAGGGGGGCGGUUGAACCGGCCGGAGCCGAGCGGGCGAGCCGAGGGCGAGCCGGGGCGGGGCCGGGGAGGGGCAGGGGGCGAGGCCGAGCGCCGUCGGGGCCGUGGUCGGGCAGGGGGCGGGCGGGAUCGCCGCCGGGGAGGGAGGGGAGCCGCGCCGAGGGCCGAGGGCCGAGCGGCCGAGCGCCGCCGGGGAGGCCGAGCGGGCGGGCGCCGCCGGGGACGGGGUCGGGCAGGGGGGCCGAGCGGGGGGCCGGGGCACCACCGCGCCGAGGGGCGGGCAGGGGGCCGCGCGGGGCCGGGCGAGGGCGGGCGGGAUGCGCCGCCGACGAGGGGCGGGGACGGGGUCGGGCGCCGCCGCGCGGGCCGGGGUGGGGACGGGGACGGGGUCGGGCGCCGCCGCGCGGGCCGGGGUGGGGACGGGGACGGGCGCCGCCGCGCGGGCCGGGGCGGGGACGGGCGCCGCCGCGCGGGCGAGGGGGAGGGGCGGGCGAGCGCCGCCGCGCGGGCCGGGGCGGGGACGGGCGCCGCCGCGCGGGCGAGGGGGAGGGACGGGCGAGCGCCGCCGCGGCCGGGGGGAGGGCGGGCGCCGCCGCGCGGGGUCGGGCAGGGGCGCGAGCGAGCAGGGGAGAGGGAGGGCGCGCGUGGGGAAGAAGAGGAGGGGGAGGGAGAGAGAGAAGAGAAGGGGAGGGGAGCUCACCUCGGGGUCCAAAAUCCGGUGAUCGCCGUCUCCAAACCCUAGGGCACCACGGGGAGAGAGAGGUGGGAGAGGGAGAGGGAAGUUGUUGCGCGGGAGAUCCAAAUGAGGGAGAGGGAGAGAAUGGGGGGCGCAAGGGGGGGGGGGGGGUUGGGCGCCAGGGGCGCGCAGGCCGAGGCGGGCCGGGCCGGCUGGGCUGGGCUAGGUUGGGCCGGGCCACCUCGCGGAUCGAAAACCCACGACGAGCGCGACCACUAAACGGAAUUAAAUCGCGAACCGAAAUCCGGAACGGAACGAGACGAACAUUCAACAUCAGACAAAGAAAUGUGCUUCGGCAUGAUGCAACACCCAUGACACUUAGGUUUUGGUUUAUACAUAACACGGACACCUGCCGCUAUACUGGUUUGAAAUUGGGAAGAAGGGGCAAACGGGGAAAGAGAAAAGAGAGUAACGCCCGAAUUUGGUGAGAGAAAAGAAGAAAAAAUUCUACCCCCAAAUUCAGGGCGUUACAAACCUAUCCCCCUUAAAAGAAUCUCGCCCUCGAGAUUCAGGGUUGGCUAGCAAAGAGCUCAGGGUAUUUAGCCGCUAGAUCAUCUUCACGCUCCCAGGUUGCUUCUUCCUCAGAGUGAUGAUCCCAUCUGACUUUGCACAUUCUGAUGGUCUUCCUUCGAGUGACUCUGUCUGCAAUCUCAAGGAUUUGAGCUGGCUUCUCAACAUAGGUCAAAUCCUCCUGGACCUCAAGACCUUCCACUAGCAACUGCUCUUCUGGCACACGCAAGCACUUUUUCAACUGAGACACAUGAAAGACAUCAUGCACAGCAGACAAAUUCUCGGGCAAACUGAGCUGAUAGGCCACUUCUCCUCGUCUUGCAAGAAUCCGAUACGGACCAAUGUAGCGGGGUGCUAGCUUGCCUUUCACUCCGAAUCUUCUGACUCCUCUGAUCGGUGACACUUUCAGAUAGACAAAGUCUCCGACUUCGAAACUCAGCUCUCUUCUUCUUGUGUCUGCAUAGCUUCGCUGCCUCGAUUGCGCUAUCUUCAGAUUCUCUCGAACCAUCUUGAUGUUCUCUUCGGCUUCAAGCAAAAUGUCUGGCCCAAACACUUGCUUUUCUCCAGGCUGAUCCCAUUGCAACGGAGUUCUACAACUCCUUCCAUAGAGCGCCUGAAAUGGUGACAUCUUCAAACUGGCCUGGUAACUGUUGUUAUAGGAAAACUCUGCAUAAGGCAAUCGCUUAUCCCAUCCGGACUGAUCUUGCAACGCACAGGCUCCCAACAUAUCUUCAAGAAUUUGAUUGGUCCUUUCGGUCUGGCCAUCUGUCUGCGGGUGAUAAGCUGAACUGAAAUUCAGAUGCGUGCCCAAGGCUUCAUGCAACUGCUGCCAGAAAUGAGAGGUGAACUGCGUUCCUCUGUCUGACACUAUCUUCUUUGGCACACCAUGAAGACAAACGAUCCGAGACAUGUACAACUCUGCCAAUACUGCACUGCUAUAGUUGGUCUUGACAGGUAUGAAGUGGGCUGACUUGGUCAAGCGGUCCACUACUACCCAAAUGGAAUCGUAGCCGGCUCGAGUGCGAGGCAAUCCGACUAUGAAAUCCAUACCGAUUUCAUCCCAUUUCCACUGAGGGAUCUGCAACGGUUGCAACAAUCCAGCAGGUCUCUGGUGCUCUGCCUUAAUUCUUCGACAACUAUCACACAUAGCCACAUGCUCUGCGAUUUCUCUCUUCAUUCCGUACCACCAGAAUUUCUUCUUCAGAUCCUGAUACAUCUUCUCACUGCCAGGGUGAAUCGAAUAAGCUGUCUCAUGAGCUUCCUUAAGAAUCAACUCCCGAAUAGACUGGACAUUGGGAACACACAAGCGGUCUUUGAACCAUAUCACGCUUUCUGCAUCUUCUCGAAAAUCUUUGCCUUUGCCAUCUAGAAUCAGUCGCCGAAUCUCACUGAUCUUUUCAUCAUUCUUCUGCGCUUCUUUGAUUUCGCGCUCCAAGGUGGGUUCCAACUCGACUGUGACUCCUCGCGAAUUGUUCAGAAAUCCGAGACUCAACCUGUCAAACUCCUUGGCCAACUCAUAAGGCAUCGGACGAGCGACCAUCAGAUUGACUUGACUCUUUCUGCUCAAAGCAUCUGCCACUACGUUUGCUUUGCCUGGAUGGUAAUGAAUCUCCAACUCAUAGUCUUUGAUCAACUCUAACCAUCUUCGCUGCCUCAUGUUCAACUCUGACUGAGUGAAUAUGUACUUCAGACUCUUGUGAUCUGUGUAAACAUCGCAUUUCUGUCCAUACAAAUAGUGCCUCCAUGUCUUCAGUGCGUGAACCACUGCUGCCAACUCUAGAUCAUGGAUUGGGUAAUUCUUCUCAUGAACCUUCAACUGUCGGGACGAGUAAGCCACAACUCUUCCCUCUUGCAUCAACACACAUCCCAAACCUGUGUAACAAGCAUCACAAUACACCGAAAAGGGCUUGUGCACAUCAGGCAAGACUAGGACAGGCGCUGUAGUCAACUUCUCUUUCAGCGCUUCAAAAGCCUCUUGGCAUUUCUGGGUCCACUUGAACUCAACCUUGUUGCCUAGCAACGCUGUCAUUGGUUUCGCAAUCUUCGAAAACCCUUCAAUGAAUCGCCGAUAAUAUCCGGCCAUUCCAAUGAAGCUCUUGAUUCCUCUAGCAUCUGUUGGCGUUUUCCAGUUCAAAAUGUCUGCCACUUUCUUCGGAUCCACAGCCAAUCCUUCUUUGUUGAUUAUGUGACCCAAGAACAGGACUUCGCUGAUCCAGAACUCACACUUGCUCAACUUUGCAUACAACUGGUGCUCUCGCAAUCUCUGCAAUACCAUCCUCAAAUGAUCUGCAUGCUCUUCUUCGCUAUGAGAAUAAACCAGAAUGUCAUCAAUGAAUACCACCACAAACUUAUCAAGGUAAUCCAUGAAUACACUGUUCAUCAGAUUCAUGAAGAACGCUGGCGCAUUGGUCAAACCAAAAGACAUUACUGUGAACUCAUACAACCCAUACUUGGAAAUGAAUGCCGUCUUCGGAAUGUCCGAAGGGCGGAUCCUGAGCUGAUGAUAACCUGACCUCAGAUCAAUCUUGGAGAACACGCUGGCUCCUCUCAACUGGUCGAACAGAUCUUCAAUCCUGGGCAAGGGAUACUUGUUCUUGAUCGUGACCUCAUUCAAAGCUCGGUAAUCGAUACACAUCCUUUUGGUGCCAUCUUUCUUCUCCACAAAUAGGACAGGGGCGGCCCAAGGCGAGGUGCUUGGCCGGAUGUAACCUUUCUCUGACAGCUCAUCAAUUUGCUUCUUAAGCUCAACCAACUCUGGUCCAGAUAUUCUGUAAGCUCUCUUGAAGAUAGGGGCGGUUCCAGGAAGAAGCUCUAUAGCAAACUCAACUUUCCGCUCUGGUGGCAUACCCGGUAAGUCCUUUGGAAACACAUCCGGGAACUCAGACACAACCUUGAUACUCUCAAUUGGGUCUGCUUCACUGCUAUCAACGGCCAUCUGAUAACAACUUCCUUUCUUUGGCUCAGGCGGGACUAACUCGGUCACCACUUCCUCUCCUAGUGGAGACACCAACUUGAUUGUCCUUUUAUCACAACUGAUAACUGCCUGAUACUUAUCUAGCCAAUUCAUCCCUAGGAUGACAUCUAUUCCCUGAGUACCCAUUACUAUAAGGUUGGCGGGAAACGCUAUCCCCCUUAUUUCCACACUUAUAUUCAAACAAAUGCUAUCGGCUCGAAUUCUACCACCGGCUGAGUCAAUUUGAAUGGGGGUUGACAUGGUAGUAAUUCUGCUUCUGAAACUGACUUCCUGACUGAUUGCUCUGACGGUUCUGGUACUGAUUCUGAGGGUACUGCCUUUGGAACUGCUGAUGCUGCUGAGGUGGACGCUGGUUCUGCCUGAACUGCUGAGGUUGAUUGCCUGAGAAACGAGGACGGCUGCUGCUUCCAGGCUGGGGUCCACUGAUCUUGCGCUUACGAUCUUCCAUCUCCUUGCGCUUUCUCUCUGUCAUGAUUGCUCUAUCAAUCAGGUGCUGGAAUGUCGGAAAGGUGUGAUUCAUCAGUUGGUACUGCAGGGGGUCAACCAAGCCUCUCAGGAAACGGUACUGCCGCUUGGCGUCGGUGUUGACAUCUUCAGGAGCAUAGCGAGACAAUUGCAGAAACCUGUCUCGGUACUCACUGACAGACAAUGGCCCUUGCUUGAGGGCCAGGAACUCCUCCUUCUUCACUGUCAUCAGACCUGCAGGCACAUGGUACUGACGAAAGCUACUCCUGAAUUCUUCCCAAGUGAUGGUGUCGGGGUUGGCAUGGGUGGCGAGGUAAGACUCCCACCAUGAUUGGGCUGCUCCUCUCAACAGACGGGGACCAUACAAGACUUUCUCCCUGUCAUCGCACUGAGCGGUAUGCAACUCCCGCUCCACAGUGCGCAGCCAAUCUUCAGCAUCCAUAGGGUCAGAAGAAUGAGCGAACGUUGGUGGAUGACCUCUCAUGAAUUCAGCACGCUUGUCUCUGGGCAUCUGAGGCAUCUGAGGCUGGGGUGGUGCUUGCUGCUGCUGCUGCUGCUGAAUGGCGGCCAGAGUCUGACCGAUAGCUUGAACUGCUUGAGUCUGCAUCAGAAACAUCUGCUCGAUGGACAUCGGGGGCGGGGGCGGCAGGUGCUGCUGCUGGGGCACCUCAUCUUGCUGACCGGCUCGCCCCUGCUGAGCACGCCUUCCUCCUCUGCGCCUGUUCUCUGACAUCUGCAGAAUGCAACCACACAUCAGAACUGAUCUGGCAAAUCUUGCAGCAUAAGGAAAGAGAAUAGAAUUCUUCAACAGCACUGAACAGAUGAGCAUCUUCACUGAUCUCCAACACAGACCACACAGCUUCUCAGAUAAAGAGGAAAGUGGAAUAAGAGGUUUCCCAACUAUAUAACUAUCUUCAUUAACAUAAUAGGUAAACCAAAAUGCAGGGGAUACCCACACUCUGGUGACAAUCAUUACAAAGAUCCAAACCAAUCAUAGUUCAUCAUGACAAACAUAAAUGCACAGGAUAUAGCAAACUACCCUGUCUAACUAAGACUAACUAAGACCGAGACUAACGCUAAGACUGAAGCUUCUAUGCAUAUAUAUUUCGUAUUAAUUACAAGAUCCAACUCUAACGAUCUAUGGUUCUAGAUUUAUCUUGGUCUUGCAGUCGGGAUUGCCAUAAGGCUGGUGUCCACGCUGAGGUGAGCGGUACGGGUGCUGAGUCCCGACGGGAGCGGGGGAACCACCAUCCAAAAAACGACGUUCCGCGCGCUCAGCCCGCAACAGGGCGAUCUCAGCACGAGCCCUACUCAGCUCGUCUAAUGCAUGGUCCAGCUCCGUGUUUAGCACGGCGGCUAGGUUGACUGUGCUGCUCAACCUAGGAUUGCCCUCACCGAUAGGUGAGACAAUCACGCCUCCUGUGCUGCCGGAUGGACGGCGGGGGUAAUACUUCAGGUCAAGACCAUCAGCUGCCCCACCGAAAACCGAGCAGUAGUGCGAAAGCGCACGCCGUGCAGCAUCUUGCAUGGCUGCCUCAGCUGAGUCCCGUUCAGAGAUAGAAUAGUGCUCUGAGCAGACCUCAGCACCCUGGAGACUGUUCUCCGGGCAGCGCACCAAGCAGGUUGCCUCCCAGCGGUCCGGGUAGACCCCGCGACUAUGCUGGUAGACCACACAGCGAUACUCGACGGACCAAGUAUGUCGGUCAAAUGCCCGACGUAGCAGGGUGUCGAGCGCAUCGUGGAAGUGACACCCGCGAGCAGCGUCGCGAGUGAUGGGUCGAGCAACCCAUCCUUCCGGCUCAGGGUUAGCAGAGAAGUCGGUGUCGUGGCUCGAGCUGUCGUCGCCAUCUCCAUCGUCUGGGUCUCCUCCAGCAGCUACUCCAGAAGCUGGGGCGCCCAGUGGUGGUGCAGGGGGCGGCUCCAGAGGAAGCACAGGGGAGCAGCUCCUCACAGACUCUAUCUCCUGGUGGAGCGAGAAAGAAGAGCUCUGCUGCUCCUGUCGUCGACGUUCUUGCUCCUCACGCAGGCGGUGGUGUAGUCUCUCCAAGUGGCUGGACUGUCCGGCCACGGGACGGCGAAGCGGACGCUCAGCAAGGCGGGAGGGUAAGAAGGGGAUGACUGACUUUCGUGCAGUGUGUCUAAGUCGAGCCAUCUACAAAAGUCAUCGCAAGCAAAAGGGUGAGAACAGAAUUAAUAUGACCAGCAAGUAAUAAGUAAAUGAAGGAUCAGAAUGAAACACAAAUUUUUUGCAAGGUAUAAUAUAUAGUAGAACAUAGGUUUGGUCGGUAUGACCAACUUUUGAAGGGAUAUCAAAGUCAAGGAAGAGACAGAGGUCUAUAGUCCUUAGAACGACCAUUCUACUCUAGGUUAGCGGUCCUACAGUCAGCACGGCUUUGAUACCACUUAUGUCACACCCGGUUUUAGAAGGCAAACCGAAUGCGAACCAUGUACGUGCCAGGAUCAGUUAUUCACGUACACAGCAGUUACAUAAUAUGGACAUCAUCACACAAUGCUCAAAAUAGUAUUAAUAAGGGAAAUAGUCGAUUACAUCAUACGUCUGAGACGUCCAUAUAGGUCUUACAAUAAAUCAAAGUGCGGAAAAGAAACGUAGAUAACGCGGCCUUCACAGGCAGCCGACUGGGGGUUGCCGCUAACCCACACCUAGAACUCGUCGUAGUCUUGGAACUCCUGGAAGUCUCCUUCCACAGCUUCAUCUUCGCCUGAGCAGUGGUUGCAAUGCUGACAACCUGGGGGGGGGGUUUGGUGUGUAGAGCAAGGGUGAGUACACAUCAACAUACUCAGCAAGUAUCCUGUUUGGCUGUAGUGGACUAGCUUUAUGUGGGGAUAAGUCAAGCAGUUGCUUUUAGUUGGUCAGAUUAUUAUUUGCUAGUAGAAAGCCAAGUUUUAGCAUUAACCCAAGUUAUUAACCCGAUGUACCCUUUCCAAACGGAAAGAAUACCACUUACCAGCACCAUAGUCAUAACCGAAACCAUCAAUCUCAUAACCACCUGUACCACAAUGUCUCUGAUCAAGUACCACUAAUCACUGGAGCUCCCUUGGCCGCUCAUAACCGCGAGCACGGCUGAUAUAUCAGUUUUCAAACACUCUGCAGAGGUUGUGCACUUUACCCACAAGCCGUGAUUCCCAUUCUGCCCGGAGAGAGCUACUCCCCAUUGACCACUACCUAGGUGGCCUAGCAGGGCAUCACUACGUAGCCUUUACAAAGAUUCCCCGGGGCUGUAGCCACCCGUUAGGUUUCCUAAAUGCACCGCACUCCUCCCCAAGGGGCGAACCCAAACUUGGCAGAGCGAGCCGCAUACACCGAGCCCCAUUGACGGCACGACGGCUAAGUGAACUACACCCCGGAUCCUCUAAUUAUUCAGCUAAGGGCAUCCCAUUCCACCCUCAUGGUUGCACUGUUUUCCCGGGCGGUCAUCCAUAGAACAGGUCCUUACGGAGAGGCACUCGAGAAACCGCUCGAGCCCCCUUGAAGGUCACAAGUACAACAUCAUAAUAAGAGAAGGGAAAACAGCGUAUCAUAGAUAAUCUCAUCAUGUUCAUUGAUUAGAGUUGAGCAAUAGCAUAAAGCUAAACAGUAAUAAUCCAACCCAAAUAGGUAAUCAAGGACAGGGAUAACAAAAGCUAGUCAAUCCUUAGGUAUAAAGGUGUAAUGCGGGAGGUGAAUUAAAUAAUGAAUAGGACAGAGAUAGGUCAAAGGACACUUGCCUCCACCAAACGACUGCUGCUCAGGGGCUUCUCCUGCGGGUUCCUCGGGCUCUUCAACUGGAUCGUUCUCUAUGCGAGCGCAAACAUACAUACAUCCACAUAUUUAAUACAAAAGAACAGUACACCAUACAAUAGAAUGCAAUAAGUAAACAGACGUUCUACGCAGGUUCGCGAGUACGGUUAAGAGAGAAAGAGGAAAAGACAGUCGAGAAACGAUAACGUUACAUGAUUAUAGAUUUAGCCACUCGCUUAAUGGAAGGAAUUUAAGGUAGACACUAUGUUUAGCAUAAAGUAAAGUCAUGUUUCAUGUCUAAUUAUUAUAAGCAGGUGGAGAUAAAUAAAAGGAUGGUCGCGCGGCGAGACGCGCGACAAAGCUCUCUAAAACAAAUUAAGAAGUUAACGAAUCGUCGCGCGACCGAGCACGCAACAAAACACUUCGCCUUAGUUACGAGGAGACGUUAAGCGUCGCGCGACGAAGCGCACGACGGCAUACGUCGACUAAACUGAGUCCAAAGUGGAACGUCGCGUGAAUACACACGCGGCGCUACACCUUAAACAACCUGAAACAAAAUGGAUCGUCGCGCGACGAAGCGCACGACGCAGCACAAGAUAGAAUCCGAAUUUAGACAAAUCCGUCGCGCGGCGAAGCGCGCGACGCAACACGCUAAUUAACGAAUAAUCAUCGCGAACGCGGGCGAGCGAAAAUACGGUCGGGCGAGACCGGGACGGGGAAACGAGCGGGCGAGCUGGGGCCAGGGCGGUUGAACCGGCCAGGGGGGCGGUUGAACCGGCCGGAGCCGAGCGGGCGAGCCGAGGGCGAGCCGGGGCGGGGCCGGGGAGGGGCAGGGGGCGAGGCCGAGCGCCGCCGGGGCCGGGGUCGGGCAGGGGGCGGGCGGGAUCGCCGCCGGGGAGGGAGGGGGAGGGGAGCCGCGCCGAGGGCCGAGGGCCGAGCGGCCGAGCGCCGCCGGGGAGGCCGAGCGGGCGGGCGCCGCCGGGGACAGGGUCGGGCAGGGGGGCCGAGCGGGGGGCCGGGGCACCACCGCGCCGAGGGGCGGGCAGGGGGCCGCGCGGGGCCGGGCGAGGGCGGGCGGGAUGCGCCGCCGACGAGGGGCGGGGACGGGGUCGGGCGCCGCCGCGCGGGCCGGGGUGGGGACGGGGACGGGGUCGGGCGCCGCCGCGCGGGCCGGGGUGGGGACGGGGACGGGCGCCGCCGCGCGGGCCGGGGCGGGGACGGGCGCCGCCGCGCGGGCGAGGGGGAGGGGCGGGCGAGCGCCGCCGCGCGGGCGAGGGGGAGGGACGGGCGAGCGCCGCCGCGGCCGGGGGGAGGGCGGGCACCGCCGCGCGGGGUCGGGCAGGGGCGCGCGCGAGCAGGGGAGAGGGAGGGCGCGCGUGGGGAAGAAGAGGAGGGGGAGGGAGAGAGAGAAGAGAAGGGGAGGGGAGCUCACCUCGGGGUCCAAAAUCCGGUGAUCGCCGUCUCCAAACCCUAGGGCACCACGGGGAGAGAGAGGUGGGAGAGGGAGAGGGAAGUUGUUGCGCGGGAGAUCCAAAUGAGGGAGAGGGAGAGGAUGGGGGCGCAAGGGGGGGGUUGGGCGCCAGGGGCGCGCAGGCCGAGGCGGGCCGGGCCGGCUGGGCUGGGCUAGGUUGGGCCGGGCCACCUCGCGGAUCGAAAACCCACGACGAGCGCGACCACUAAACGGAAUUAAAUCGCGAACCGAAAUCCGGAACGGAACGAGACGAACAUUCAACAUCAGACAAAGAAAUGUGCUUCGGCAUGAUGCAACACCCAUGACACUUAGGUUUUGGUUUAUACAUAACACGGACACCUGCCGCUAUACUGGUUUGAAAUUGGGAAGAAGGGGCAAACGGGGAAAGAGAAAAGAGAGUAACGCCCGAAUUUGGUGAGAGAAAAGAAGAAAAAAUUCUACCCCCAAAUUCAGGGCGUUACAAGAAAGCUCACUCGGUUCGAGGGACCGUUUGAGAGAGGGUAAGGGUUGAAAGAGACCCGGCCUUUGUGGCCUCCUCAAUGGGGAGUAGGUUUGAGAGAACCGAACCUCGGUAAAACAAAUCCGCGUGUCUCACUUCAUUAUUUGCUUGCGAUUUGUUUUGCACCCUCUCUCGCGGACUCUAUUAUAUUUCUAACGCUAACCCGGCUUGUAGUUGUGUUUAUAUUUGUAAAUUUCAGUUUCGCCCUAUUCACCCCCCUCUAGGCGACUUUCACGCGCGUCCCACUGACUGUUGAUGGUGUGCCAUAGAUCGCUCUGGGGAUGAGCGAGGGGUAGAAGAUGAUUAGCUGCCCGAGUGAGCAUCCGCCGAUAGCCUUCAGCGUCUGGAGUCCGGGGGAGACCAUCGGCUAUCCGAGCCAAUACUCCACCGACCUCACUCGAUGUGUUCAUGGCACGGGCGAAGUCAGGGUUCAGGUUUCGUGCAAAGAGAGGGUUCUCUUGGCGUAGCCUCGCAUCCUGUUCAGCCUGCUCUUGAGCCUACUGGCGAUCACGUCGGCGAGAGUUCCUCCUUUCUCUGAAGACUCGUUCGUCUGGAGUUUCUCCCACCUCCGAGAUUUCAUCUCAGGAUACAGGCUGCGCCGGGUCCCGUUCCCCCGCUUCGUGAUGUCACCGAAUAUUUCGGCGUCGGUUCCUCCAUCGGCGAGCUUCUCGCUGAGGAGGUUCUUCCCUAGGCAUGGUUGGUUCGUCGUCGGAGAUGGGAGAUGAUUCCACUCUUCCCCCGAUGAAGAGGAUGUCGGGGUAGAAAGGAGUUGUUGUGGUGACAAACUUGUUUAUGUCCUUCUUUGAGGGCGAAGGUGCGAGAAGAGCAGCUUGAUGGGCCUCUAUCCCGCUUGCUCCUUUUUUUCCUCGUAAUCUGUGUCCACUCUUCUGUGGACGAGGUGGACAACGAGGUUCUUCGGGUAAAUGAAUUCUUGGCUCCUGACUUGCAGGAGGUAGUCUUCGCCUGGGGCGCUGGAGGUUGCGCUAUGCUGCUUCGUUCUGACUUUUUUUGGAGAUUUUCGGGGAAGGCUUCUUCUCCGGUGGAUCCGCUAUGCGAUGCAGAAUUCCUUCUUCGUCUGCCACAAACGAGAUGGUCCCGAAGCAGAACAUGGAUCCAGGGCGGAGAGCGAUCUUGUACUGGAAAGUGAUGGCCAUUGAGCUAACUUGGAUCAACGACACACCCCCUACCUGGCGCGUCAGCUGUCGGUGUUUGGGACCCGACCGCGCACACGGGGUUACCCCUCGAGGUGCUUUUGGGUAGGACGAUGUUGUUGAUUGUAGCUCGAUGGUUCAUGCUAGGCGCACGAGAGACGAUAGACAAUUUUCUACAGGUUCGGGCCGCUUGGAGAGGCAUAAUACCCUACUUCCUGGUGUGGAUCUUUAUGUGGUGGGUUACACGGGAAUUCUCUAGUAUGAAGGAUGCUAGAGAAUGGAGUAGAUGGCUGAUGAAUGACCUGCCUUUUGAUGGGGUGCCCCCUAGGCCUUAUAUAUCGGACCGUGGGGCACCUACAUGCGUGUAUGAUAACGAUGUGAGCCUAAGUAAUAGUGAACCGACCGAACUUAUCUUCCUACAAUCUUGCCGACUUAUUCUCAUUUGGUUCCGAUGUCCAAGGUGGUCGCGUGGAAGAAUCGGAUCAAAGCUGUGGAUAACGCUCAAAUCCCAUGAGCCGUCUUGGCCCGCGCUCGCUCAUUCCCUGCAUCGGCCCAUUCUUCCAGCAGUUCUCCCCUGGCCAACGAAAGGACGAUCUCGUGAAACAAUAGGCCCAAGGCCUUUCGCAGGGCCUUCUAGCCUUCCAGUGGACCCGGGGAUAUCUGUCCCCCACAUCGGCUUCCUCUCCCGCCUCGCCUCCAGCCCUCCGCACACCAGCCGGUGACCCUGAGUGUGUGCCUCUCUCUCCUCUCGGCUCCCACCAUUCCAGUAGAUCUGUUUUGUGUGUGUGUGCCUGCUUCUAUAUUUUUAGCUUCAAAUCCUGUUUGCCCUGCUGCUUCUAUGUUUUUAGAUCCAGCUAUGUCCGCAAGCAUUAGCCUUCCUCCCACAGAUGGGAAAUCAGGAUAUGGUUACUGGCUUAGAGUCUGGAGAAGAUGAUUUGGGACUGCACCACGACAGCUAAAAGUUUUGAUUGCUGCAUUCGGUCUAUGUAAAGAAGGUUUGGCACUAGCGAUGUUUUUUUGCUACGCACUAGUGACCUACUCACCUACCUGUAUGUACAUACGUUUGACAUGUUCAUCAUGUCUGCAGAUAGAGCGUUAGCUUUAAAUUAGGCCUUAGAUCAGGUUGUAGAACUAAAGAACUAGUAUAAAGUGGUCAAGACAUUUUUCUUGAUUGAAAGUAUAGUCUGUAUUUUUGGUUUCUCAACUUAUUUUGCCUGAGUAAAAAAGACUACAAGACAUGAUUUAAUGCAACAAAGGGGAGGGGAUUUGAUUGGUUAUUGAUCCUCCUUUUUAAAUUUUAGAUAUCAUGCUAAGAAUAUUUUAGAACAUAAGUUAAUUUCAGAUGGUGACUACAAUCAACAAUACACUAAUCUUCUUUUACUGGAAUGAAUGCACAAAUGCAAACAAUGUAGAACUGAAUACACAUCAUGGCCCUCUGUAUUUGUUUACCCAGGAGGUCCUCCAUGGCCCUCUGUAUUUGUUUACCCAGGAAGUCCUCAAUGGCCCUCUGUUAGUUUGUUAGAUGAUCGAGUUAAGCAAUGUCUAGGAACAUCUAUUUGUUUGCAUCGUCUGAAACUGAAAUGAACUUAGGUAAGCAAGGGAUUCAGUGUAGCAUGGCUUUAGAUUAAGGAUUCAGUUGAAAAGAGAGCUGAGUUUUAUUGUAGCAGGGUAUGUAUUUUUGCCCCCUUUUUGUCGUAAUCUGAUCUUCUAACUCAAGAGAUUUUUCUUUUGAUAAUCUGAUCUUCUAACUCAAGUUUGCAUUCAGUUUAUACUUUAGGUUAUGUUAGUAAAAGGGAAAUAGGGUCAAACCUUUUCCAAAAUGAUUUUGGUGGUUGAAUUGCCCAACACAAAUAAUUAGACUAACUAGUUUGCUCUAGAUUAUAAGUUCUACAGGUGCCAAAGGUUCAACACAAACCAAUAAAAAGUCCAAGAAAGGGUUCAAAUAAAAGGAGCAAAACCAACCGAAGGCUGCCUUGGUCUGGCGCACCGGACUGUCCGGUGUGCCACCGGACAGUGUCCGGUGCACCAGGGAAAUCAACUCCGAACUUGCCACCUUCGGGUUUCUGGGAAUGCCUUUCCGCUAUAAUUCACCGGACUGUCUGGUGUAGCAUCGCACUGUCUGGUGUGCCAAGCGGAGUAACGACUACAGUGCCAACGAUCGUCUACAAAAGGUGAACAGUGAGCUACAGUGCGCGGACUGCGCGCGCAGAAGUCAGAGCAGCGCCAGAAGGCGCACCGGUCAGUGAAUAGUGACUGUCCGGUGCACCACCGGACUGUCCAGUGGCCCCACAUGUCAGAGCUCCAAGUCCCAAUUCCACUCAAAGCAAUUAACGACUAGAAGAGAGAGUUUUGCCGUGUUCUUUAAAGCUCUUGUGCUUGGAUCGCUUUUCUUCUUCCCCAUUUCUUGUUCCCAAGACAUUUGUAAUCAAAGCAAGAGAUACCAAUUGUGUGGUGGUCCUUGUGGGGACUAAGUGUCCCAAUUGAUUGAGAAGAGAAGCUCACUCGGUCUAAGUGACCGUUUGAGAGAGGGAAAGGGUUGAAAGAGACCCGGUCUUUGUGACCACCUCAACAGGGAGUAGGUUUGCAAGAACUGAACCUCGGUAAAACAAAUCACUGUGUCAUUCGCCUUAUUCGCUUGUGAUUUGUUUUUUGCCCUCUCUUUCGGACUCGACUUUAUUUCUAACGCUAACCCCAGCUUAUAGUUGUGCUUAAAGUUUAUAAAUUUCAGAUUUGCCUAUUCACCCCCCUCUAGGCGACUUUCAAUUGGUAUCAGGGCCCGAUACUUCAUUAGAGCCUAACUACUCGAAGUGAUGUCGGGAGCUCACGCCAAGAAGGAGAUGGUGACCGACGAGACGCUCGCCACAAGCCACGGGAAAGCUCCAUCGGGAGAGUCCAGCAACAAGAAGAGGGAGGAAUCACCUCCCCGCGUCAAGUCGCACCGGAGUGGCGACAAGAAGAAGAAAAUGAAGAAAGUGGUCUACUAUGAGACCGAUUCUUCGUCGCCUUCCACCUCCGGCUCCGAAAUGCUGUCCGUCACUUCUAAGCACCAAGAGCGCAAGAAGUUUAGUAAGAUCCCCCUACACUACCCUCGCAUUUCUAAACAUACUCCAUUACUUUCCGUCCCAUUAGGCAAACCACCGAUUUUUUACGGUGAAGAUUAUUGUAUGUGGAGUGAUAAAAUGAGGCACCAUCUAACCUCACUCCACACUAGUAUUUGGGAUGUCGUUGAGUUUGGAGCACAGGUACCAUCCGUAGGGGAUGAAGGAUAUGACUCGGACAAAGUUGCCCAAAUCCGGCACUUCAACACCCAAGCCACUACUAUACUCCUCGCCUCUCUAAGUCGAGAGGAGUAUAAUAAGGUGCAAGGGUUGAAGAGCACCAAAGAAAUUUGGGACAUGCUGAAGACCGCGCACGAAGGAGAUGAGGUGACCAAAAUUACCAAGCAGGAAACGAUCGAGGGGGAGCUCGGUCGGUUCAUGCUCAACCAAGGGGAGGAGCCACAAGCCAUGUAUAACCGGCUCAAGACCUUGGUGAACCAAGUGCGCAACCUCGGGAGCACAAAAUGGGAUGACCAUGAAAUGGUCAAGGUUAUUCUUAGAUCACUUGAUUUUCUUAACCCUACUCAAGUUCAUAAACUAAUGUCUCCCGAGGAAGUGAUAGGAAAGUUUGUGAGCUUUGAGUUGAUGAUCAAAGGCUCCAAACAAAUCAUCGAGCGAGGCGGCACCUUCACAUCCGAGGUGCAACCCGUCGCAUUCAAAGCGACAGAGAAGAAAGAAGAGUCUACUUCAAGUAGGCUCCCUAUCACACCCGGUUCCAGGGGGUAGAACCGAGCGCAUACCAUAUGUGUGCCAGGAUCCAUUUCCACACAUAUGUUGACGUCACAAGUGUAAUAUAUCAAAAGACAAUGCAAUAAAGGCGUAAAGAGAGUAUAAUACUUUAUUACAUCAUCUGAACAUUGUAUCUUGAACAAGUAUCACAUCAAAGUAAAGCGGAAAUAAAUAACAGGGGCAAUCUCCCACAGGAAGAUGACCGGCGCAUCGUUAGACUUAGAAUUCCUCGUCGUCAAAAUCUCCAUCAAAGUUUCCAGCAUCACCCUCUGAUCAAAAUAUUAGCAAGGGUGAGCUCACUUAUGGUCGGGGCUCAGCAAGUGGGGGAAAAAUUAAUGCAGGUAUAACAAGGUGAGGCUAAGGUUGAGCAGUAAGCAUUUUAGUUGGUCAACAUUUUAUUAACAACACCUGUCUUACUAAUAAGUGUGAAUCCCAAAUAUCCCAUUUAAACAAAGGAAUAUGAAUAUAACAAAAACACUUAAGUGAAACCACUUAAGCAAAUUAUUGGCAGAUCAUCGGAUCUCAAUUUAAUUCCAUCUUCAAGUUCAAUUAUCAUGUGAGGAGUCCAGGUCGCUCAUAACCGGGAGCACGACUGAUAUAUCAGUUUUACACUCUGCAGAGGUGGUACAACUUUACCCACAAGCCAUGUAUCCCAUCUAGCCCGGGUUGAUCGGACCCUUAAACACUGCCGAGGUGAAUGGCUAGGGAUCCAUUAUGAGGCUUUCACAAAAUACCUUAAUACGAAGCAACCCGCUAAGGUUUCUAAAGACGAUGGUGGUGGCCCCAUGGGUGAGGUACCUUUAGAUAAGAAUACGUCCUCAUGUUAACGUGGGCUGCCAGCACCUACCGCUCCCCCUCUUGCCCAUAUUUCAGGUA